UACGUAGGGUGCGAGCGUUAAUCGGAAUUACUGGGCGUAAAGCGUGCGCAGGCGGUGAUGUAAGACAGAUGUGAAAUCCCCGGGCUCAACCUGGGAACUGCAUUUGUGACUGCAUCGCUGGAGUGCGGCAGAGGGGGAUGGAAUUCCGCGUGUAGCAGUGAAAUGCGUAGAUAUGCGGCGGAACACCGAUGGCGAAGGCAAUCCCCUGGGCCUGCACUGACGCUCAUGCACGAAAGCGUGGGGAGCAAACAGG
rnacentral:rRNA from 1 species